rnacentral:tRNA from 1 species
GGGGGUAUGGUGUUAAUGGCAGCAUCGCGGUCUCCAAAACCGAAGGUCCGGGUUCAAAUCCUGGUACCCCUGCCA